GUUCGGAUUGUAGGCUGCAACUCGCCUACAUGAAGUCGGAAUCGCUAGUAAUCGCGGAUCAGCAUGCCGCGGUGAAUACGUUCCCGGGCCUUGUACACACCGCCCGUCACACCAUGAGAGUUUGUAACACCCAAAGCCGGUGGGGUAACCUUUUGGAGCCAGCCGUCUAAGGUGGGACAGAUGAUUGGGGUGAAGUCGUAACAAGGUACC
rnacentral:rRNA from 1 species